rnacentral:lncRNA from 1 species
AUCUUUAAUGAGGGCCCUCAUGGGGUUUUUGAUUAUGUGAUUACUUGGCCGUUUUUUUAAUGAUUAUUUGAUUAUUAAGCCAAAUAUUUCAUGAUUAUUUGAUUACCUAGGACUGUAUUUUUAGUUUAUGAUUAUUUGAUUACUAAAGAUAAGCAAAUAUUUAAUGAUUAUGUGAUUAUAUUGGCAAAAAAAAUGGUGAUUAUGUGAUUACUAGGACCCCCCCCCCCCAUGAGGGGCCUCUUUAAUGUUC